rnacentral:rRNA from 1 species
UGGGGUGCUCGAGUGGCGAACGGGUGAGUAACACGUGAGUAACCUGCCCUGCACUUCGGGAUAAGCUUGGGAAACUGGGUCUAAUACCGGAUAGGACCGCACUUUAGUGUGUGUGGUGGAAAGUUUUUUCGGUGUAGGAUGAGCUCGCGGCCUAUCAGCUUGUUGGUGGGGUAGUGGCCUACCAAGGCGGCGACGGGUAGCCGGCCUGAGAGGGUGACCGGCCACAUUGGGACUGAGAUACGGCCCAG